UAGAGCCUCAGCAAAGAGAGAAUCUCAGUAAGAAUUAAGAGUUGAGAUCAACAGGGAUUCAGCACAACAGCAAAAGAGCCAAAGUAGAAUUGCUGAGGGCCUGUCUGACCAUGCAGAAAGAAGCUGAAGAUAGAACACACCCAGUCUUUGUGGAAGGAGCAGCAAGUAACCACUUUGAACAACAAAGAGAGAAUGACUCAAGUUAUCUUCAGAUCCAGCCC